UUCCCUUAUGCUGCAGGGGAAAGCUGC
rnacentral:piRNA from 1 species